rnacentral:rRNA from 1 species
ACAGGGAGGAGCUUGCUCCACCCUGUCUGAGUGGCGGACGGGUGAGUAACGCGUGAGUAACCUGCCUUAAAGAGGGGGAUAACGUCUGGAAACGGACGCUAAUACCGCAUGACAUACGGAGAUGGCAUCAUAACCGUAUCAAAGGAGGAAUCCGCUUUAAGAUGGACUCGCGUCCAAUUAGCUGGUUGGUGAGGUAACGGCUCACCAAGGCGACGAUUGGUAGCCGGACUGAGAGGUUGAACGGCCACAUUGGGACUGAGACACGGCCCAGACUCC